GCUUAAGUUGCUAGGAACAGCACAUCGUAGAGGGUGAUAAUCCCGUACGCGGUACAGUGCACCGGUCAUGAUGCGCUUUCUAUGAGUCGGGUUGCUUGGGAAUGCAGCCCAAAAUGGGAGGUAAACUCCUUCUAAAGCUAAAUAUUGGCACGAGACCGAUAGCGAACAAGUACCGUGAGGGAAAGAUGAAAAGCACUUUGAAAAGAAAGUUAAUAGUACGUGAAACCGUUGGAAGGGAAGCGCAUGGAAUUAGCAAUGCAUUGCUGCGAUUCAGGCAGGGUUCAAUUCUCACAGGGAUAGCACGGAUCCGAAUGGACUGUCUUUUUCUGUUGUGGAGGGAAUCCUGUCGCAUUUCACAGUAGUGUGCGUCAACAACUGUUAGAACCGUUCGAUACGCCUUGCAAGAAGGUAGCUGGCUCCGGCUAGUGUUAUAGCUUGUGGUGGCUAGAUUUGGUUUGACAGAGGAGUCGCGGCACAUGCUCAUUUGGGCUGGCUUCUUUCUUCUCAGUUCGUUGUCGACUAUAGCGGACUGCACGCAGUGCGCUUGAACUGCUGCGGGCUGUUGAGGGGAUGAAUACACACUUGUGCCAAGGUUGUUGGCGGUCAUAUGAUUUCAUACGACCCGUCUUGAAACACGGACCAAGGAGUCUAACAUGUGUGCGAGUCUUUGGGUGACAGAAACCCGCAGGCAUAAUGAAAGUAAAGGCUGCUUGCAGCUGAAGUGAGAUCUCUCUCUGGAGAGCGCAUCAUUGACCGACCUAUUCUAAUCCUAGAAAGGUUUGAGUAAGAGCACAUCUGUUGGGACCCGAAAGAUGGUGAACUAUGCUUGAGUAGGGCGAAGCCAGAGGAAACUCUGGUGGAGGCUCGUAGCGAUUCUGACGUGCAAUCGAUCGUCAACUUGAG
rnacentral:rRNA from 1 species